UACGGAGGGUGCAAGCGUUAAUCGGAAUUACUGGGCGUAAAGCGUGCGUAGGCGGUGAGUGAAGUCUGCUGUGAAAUCCCUGGGCUCAACCUGGGAAUGGCGGUGGAUACUGGCUUGCUGGAGUACGGCAGAGGAAGGUGGAAUUCCCGGUGUAGCGGUGAAAUGCGUAGAUAUCAGAAGGAAGGCCGGUGGCGAAGGCGGCUUCCUGGAACAGUCCUGACACUGAGGCACGAAAGCGUGGGGAGCAAACAGG
rnacentral:rRNA from 1 species